rnacentral:rRNA from 1 species
GACGAAGGUGGCUAGCGUUAUUCGGAUUCACUGGGCAUAAAGCGCGCGUAGGCGGCUCUUCAAGUCGGUGGUGAAAGCCCGCAGCUCAACUGCGGAACAGCCUCCGAUACUGUCGAGCUUGAGUGCAGGAGGGGUGAUCGGGAACUCCAGGUGUAGCGGUGAAAUGCGUAGAUAUCUGGAGGAACACCGGAGGCGAAGGCGGAUCACUGGACUGCCACUGACGCUGAGGCGCGAAAGCUAGGGGAGCAAACAGG